UUCGGGGGGGGCAAGCGUUGUUCGGAAUUACUGGGCGUAAAGGGUGCGUAGGCGGUUCGCUAAGUUGGAUGUGAAAACUCUGGGCUCAACCCAGAGCCUGCAUCCGAUACUGACGAGCUAGAGUUCUGGAGGGGAUAGCGGAAUUCCUGGUGUAGCGGUGAAAUGCGUAGAUAUCGGGAGGAACACCUGUGGCGAAAGCGGCGCACUGGACCGCAUCUGACGCUGAGGCGCGAAAGCUAGGGGAGCAAACAGG
rnacentral:rRNA from 1 species